UUUGGUAGCUGGACAGACGAAACCGUCGACGUUUCUCACUACCAGCUACCUCCGGCUUCGAACUCCAACCCCCCCAUCUCCGGAUCAUGUCCGCCGCUGCCGCCGCCUCCUCCGCCGCUCCGACCGCCGUGGCCCCGCUGAUCCCGUCCCUCCCGGACGACGUCGCCGUGAACAUCAUCGCCCGCGUCCCUCGCUCCCAGCACCCGACCCUCUCCCUCGUCUCCAAGGCCUUCCGCUCCCUCCUCUCUUCCCCUCUCCUCUUCUCCGCCCGCCGCCUCCUCCGCCGCACCCAGCCCUCCCUCUACCUCGCCCUCCGCCACCCCUCCUCCCCUUACCGCCACCUGUGGUUCACCCUGCACUUGCCCCCCGCCCCAGACCCCACCUCCCCGAAGCAGCAGCAGCAGCAGCGCCACCGCCACCGCCGCCGCCGCCUCGUCCCCAUCCCCCCUGUCCCUUCCCCUUCCAUCGGCUCCGCCUUCGCCGCCGUCGGCCCCCUCAUCUACGUCCUCGGCGGGUCCGUCAACGACGUGGCCUCGCCCCAUGUCUGGGUCCUCGAUUGCCGGUUCCACCGGUGGCGGUCCGGGCCCGCCAUGCGGGUGGGGCGGGAGUUCGCCGCCGCCGGCGUGGUCGGGGAUAAGCUGUACGUCAUGGGCGGGUGCACCGUGGACACCUGGUCCCGGGCCGCCCAUUGGGCGGAGGUCCUGGUCCCGGGGGGCGGAUCGUGGGCGGCGGUUCCGUCCUCGUCGCUCGAUGUGAGGGAGAAGUGGAUGCACGCUAGCGCGGUUGUGGAUGGGAGGAUCCACGCGAUGGCGGACCGGGGCGGGGUCGUGUACGACGUGGACAAGGAGGUUUGGGAGAGUGUGGACAGUGAGCUCAACAUGGGUUGGAGAGGGAGGGCUUGUGUGGUUGACGGGGUUUUGUAUUGCUAUGACUAUUUGGGGAAGAUUAGAGGGUUUGAUGUGAAGGAAGGGGUUUGGAAGGAGUUGAAGGGCGUGGAGAGCGGGCUACCGAAGUUCUUGUGCGGUGCGACGAUGGCGAAUUUGGGUGGGAAUUUGGUGGUGGUUUGGGAGGGAAAGGGUGGUGGGAAGGAGAUGGAGGUCUGGUGUGCUGAGAUUGCUGUGAAGAAGGACGAGCAUGGGGACCUGGUGGGGUGUAUUUGCUGGUCGGAUCCGGUUCUCAAGGUAUCCAAUGGGUCUUCGAUCGUCAAUUGCUUGGCGGUGGCAUUGUGAUCCCGGUUGUGUCAAUGAACAGAGGAUAUAGCAGGGGUUCCUACUGUAUGCAGAAUUUUUAGGUGAUGUCUGGACUGAAAGGAAAGAAGUGCGAGAUGUUUCUGCUGGGAUGAUUGCAGCUUGUUGAUAUUAGCAACUUUCGGCAGGAUCAUCUUCCAGUUAGAUAUUUGGGAUUGUUCUUUAUAUCUAGGACCCUUACCAAUAGGGAUUGUCAAGCUCAAAUUUAUUCAAUUUUGUCGAGAAUUGGAGCUCGGUCUGCUAAGAGUCUCUAUUCCUGGUUGACUUUAGUUUAUUCAAAUAUGUCAUUCAAAGAAGUGCAAAUUGCUGGUGUCAAUUUUUCCUCUUGCCCAUGAAAUUUGUCCCUACGAUCGAUCAUUGAGCAGCAAUGUCGUGCUUAUUUGUGGAAGGGGAGUGAUGUAAAUGCAAUGGGUGCUAAAAUAAGAUGGCUCAUAGUCUGCAUGCUAAUGGGAAAGGGUGGGCAAUAACUUUGGGAUAAGAACACUAGGAGUGCCAUAACUUCCAUACGUCAUGCACUUGAGUGCCGUAACAUUUUUUCUGCUCACUUGAGUGCCACAUUGGUGAAAAAUCGUUCAUUUGAGGGUCAUUUCCAGCAAAUUGUUCUAGGUGGAUUUUUUACUUAAUUUUCCAUUCCUACGUGGAAUUUUUAAAAAUGAAUUAAAGUCCAACGUGGAAUUUUUUGUCCAACAUGGCAAGAGUAUAAAUAAAUGUCUCUCUUUCUUUAAAUGCUUGCCCACAUAAACGACGGAGUUUUUUAGUCUCUCUCUUCCUUAAACGACCACGUUUUUUUCUCUCUCUCUCUCUCUCAACGCUUCCUCACUACAACUUGUACACCCAUAGAAUCGAAACAAAAAGCAAAUCGAGCUCUCUUUCUAAAAUUUUAGGGCUUUGUCUUCCCCUUUACUCACACACUCAUUCUCUGUCUGUCGAGGGAGCUCUUGCUUGCUCGGUAUGAUCCUUUCUCGCUGGACAGAGUAAAAAAGGCGACAGCAUGGAGGGAAAUUAGGGCUUGUCGUGCGAUGAAUCUUGGUCGACAGACACUAAAGAGACCAAAGGUGCAGGAAAAGGAAAAAUAGCUUGGAGGGCAAACAUUAGGGUUUGAUGCCAAAAUGUAAAAGGUGUUGAAAAAUCAACAGUGAGUAAAUCGAUCAUCGAAUGGCCCUACUCUGAAGCUGUCAUUCGAGACUCUGAAAGGCAACUAGUGCACAUCCUUGCUACCUUGUUUGGUGCCUGCUUGUGAUCGGAUUUUAAGACCUCUUGAAGGAGAUGUUCGCCUAUUCGCAGCUUGUGUCUUUUGUAUAUUACAACAUCAUCUUGCUGGAUGAUCCAUCUUAUCAUGUGUUAAGUCCAAUAAGUUUUAGAACACUGUUGUAUAAAUCGUGACGAUGUAUAUGAAUAACUAAACAAACUUUGUACUCUUUUCGUUCUUAAUAUAUGAUGCCUUGUAUGA